rnacentral:rRNA from 1 species
UACAGAGGUCUCAAGCGUUGUUCGGAUUCAUUGGGCGUAAAGGGUGUGUAGGUGGCGCGCGAAGUCGGGUGUGAAAUUUCGGAGCUUAACUCCGAAACUGCAUUCGAUACUGGCGUGCUUGAGGACUGGAGAGGAGACUGGAAUUCAUGGUGUAGCAGUGAAAUGCGUAGAGAUCAUGAGGAAGACCAGUGGCGAAGGCGGGUCUCUGGACAGUUCCUGACACUGAGACACGAAGGCCAGGGGAGCAAACGGG